CGAAAAUGAUAUAUCUUUUUAUUCCGUAUAUAAUAAGGAAAAAAAAUUAAAAAGUUUUGUUACAACAUUUCAAAAGAUCGUGGCAGAAUUAAUGAUUUUUUGAAAUUUGUAUUUCUGUCACAAAACCCAAAUCUCGCAUAUUUUUUGGAGCUUUUCAAAAUUCGAACGAAUGCUGCAGAUCCAAACCACAAUUUACAUAUCCAC
rnacentral:lncRNA from 1 species